rnacentral:misc_RNA from 1 species
UUGAUUCAUUUGUUUUCGUUACUCAGAAGGAGAUUCCGCUAAGAGCGAAGGCAAGGGUUUGGGUCCCCCGGCGGGCGCCUGGCUCCGGGCCUCCUCCCACGGGGGGUUCGGGCGCCGGGGCGGUCCGCCGAAGCAACGUAUGGUAUGUUCACAGGGGUUUGGGAGUCGGUACAACUCGUUAAUGAUCCCUCCGCUGGUUCACCAACGGAGA